UACGAAGGGUGCAAGCGUUACUCGGAAUUACUGGGCGUAAAGCGUGCGUAGGUGGUUGUUUAAGUCUGUUGUGAAAGCCCUGGGCUCAACCUGGGAACUGCAGUGGAAACUGGACAACUAGAGUGUGGUAGAGGGUAGCGGAAUUCCCGGUGUAGCAGUGAAAUGCGUAGAGAUCGGGAGGAACAUCCAUGGCGAAGGCAGCUACCUGGACCAACACUGACACUAAGGCACGAAAGCGUGGGGAGCAAACAGG
rnacentral:rRNA from 1 species